rnacentral:rRNA from 1 species
CCUACGGGGGGCAGCAGUGGGGAAUAUUGGACAAUGGGGGGAACCCUGAUCCAGCCAUGCCGCGUGUGUGAAGAAGGCCCUCGGGUUGUAAAGCACUUUCAGUGAGGAAGAACGCCUGGUGGUUAAUACCCAUCAGGAAAGACAUCACUCACAGAAGAAGCACCGGCUAACUCCGUGCCAGCAGCCGCGGUAAUACGGAGGGUGCGAGCGUUAAUCGGAAUUACUGGGCGUAAAGCGCGCGUAGGUGGCUUGAUAAGCCGGUUGUGAAAGCCCCGGGCUCAACCUGGGAACGGCAUCCGGAACUGUCAAGCUAGAGUGCAGGAGAGGAAGGUAGAAUUCCCGGUGGAGCGGUGAAAUGCGUAGAGAUCGGGAGGAAUACCAGUGGCGAAGGCGGCCUUCUGGACUGACACUGACACUGAGGUGCGAAAGCGUGGGUAGCAAACAGGAUUAGAUACCCUAGUAGUC